CGCAGGCGUAGGAAAUUUGAGAAGACCUGUCCUUAGUACGAGAGGACCGGGAUGGACGUACCUCUGGUGUACCAGUUGUUCUGCCAAGGGCAUGGCUGGGUAGCUAUGUACGGAAUGGAUAAGCGCUGAAAGCAUCUAAGCGCGAAGCCAACUUCAAGAUAAGAUUUCCCACCGCAAGGGUAAGACCCCAGAAAGACUAUCUGGUUGAUAGGUCGAAGGUGUAAGUGCAGCAAUGUAUUUAGCUUAUCGAUACUAAUAGGUCGAGGACUUGACCAAU
rnacentral:rRNA from 1 species